GAGAGAGAGAGAGAGAGAGAGAUUUGCCUGUCUAUCAGCAUUUGGGGUCAUCCAAGGAAAGCAAUCAGUUCAGAAGGGGCAAAAGAAGGGAGAGACGUUUCUCCGGUGGUGGGAAAACAUCCUGACGCCAUUAUCUUCAUCGCACACAGCUCAGCAUCUCCGGCGAUGGGUGGGACGCGCUCCAGGGCCCAGAGCCACCCUCGCUCGUCCGACAACACGUCUCUCUGCAGACUGCUGGCUGUUUGGGGGGCGAUGGAAAGACAACAGAACAACAUCGUACCAUUGUGUCGAGUUGUCUGGGACUCCCCUGUUUAGGUCCGACCGUGACUGGGCGAUAAUUGUCAACAUUUCCCUGGAUCCGAGCCUCUGUGAGUUUGCGUGCUUCUGCUGAUGUCUUCACCCUUUCACAUCUGGAUCCAAAUUCUCAAAGAGUUGCUCAUAUUCUUUCACGGUGGUUUCUUUUCCUAGCGGGAUCCUUUUGUAUGAAGCUUCCACCAGCCGAACUGGACACAACAUCCACGUUCCACUUUCUUUCCUGCUCAGCGUAGGUACAGCAAGAAAGGCUGGCUAGGUGUAAAUCCCUAGUGCUGUUUGGGGUCUAGUUCAGGGCUUCAGAAAUAGAUCCUGAUUUGAUCCGGAGCAAUUUGUGCUCUGUCUGAUUUGAUCUGUGCUCUGGAUCUGCAUUGAUUUGAGAAGCUUCCCCUUUGCACUGAAGGACUCAAGUGAGUGCAACCCUUCUGUUUUUUUUUGUUUUGUUUUGUUUUGCACUCUUGUGCCUGUAUUUGGGCAACUAGAUAGACCCUGAAGAGGAGAGGGAACAGCUAGCUUUUAAGAGGCUUGCAUUUUAAAUGUUUUCUUUUUAAAAAUAACAUGCUAAGAAAGUAAGCUGAUGCAGUUUGCACCUCAUCAUAUGUGCAUCUGAAUUAAUUAGUAAAUUUGCUUUACUUUAGCCCUGAAUGAAAUCUGGUGGUUCUUUUUCCAUCUGGGUCUCAGACACAUCGGUCUCAAGUCAGGCUGGUGCUGUUCAUAAUCUGGGCCACGUGGCUCUUUGCGCACGAGAGUUUUCCUCCC
rnacentral:lncRNA from 1 species